AAUAAGCAAGGAGAGGGGAGUGGGGGUUUGAGGUGAAGGGGAGCCUGGAGUGUGUUCUUUUUUCGAAUUGUUUUCUCAGCCGUAGUGGUGGUAGUUAAUCAUUCAAAUGUCUCUCUCUUUCUUGUAGGUCUUGGUGUAAGUGCAAGCAAUCUUUGCCCAUAAAGCUUCUCUCUCUCUCUCUCUCUCUCUCUCUCUCUCUACACACACACAA
rnacentral:lncRNA from 1 species